AUGUCACACGGCCCUAUUCGAAAAAUGCAAUACGGAAAAGAUAUGAGAUCGUUAAGUUCUGGUUUAGAUAUAGAUAAGUUCUCAAUUAGAUAUCGUUUGUAUGUGGUAUAAUUGACAGAAGCUGCACGAUUCGGAUGACCAAUGUCACUUUGACGUUAGAAUAUCUUUGAAAGAUCUUAGUCAGUGUUGCCAGAUGGGUUUUGCGUUCCGUUACGUGCACCUCUUAAAAAUAGUACGCAAAUUCAAGUUGAGUACGCAGUAUAAAAUUUACGGUGCGUUCCUAAAUAAUAUUAAUCGGAAAACCACCGAAUUUUAUCGCUACUAUAAAAAUGUUGAAAAUAGAACUUCACAUAUUUCGAUAAAAUAUUUCUUGUUUAAGGAGACUCAAUUCAAUGCAAAUUUGCCAACGGUGGCGUUUCGAAAUGUAAUACCGUCGCGGCGUCUGUCAUACUUCGGUCUACUUAAACACGCUGCACGCUGCUGCGACGCGUCAGGGCCUACCGCGAACCACGUUCGACGUGUUGCCUCUCUGUCGCACUUAUAAAUUCGUACGUAAGUAUGACAGGGAGGCAACACGUCGAACGUGGUUCACGGUAGGCCCUCUGUUCUGUGAUUGUUAGGCAAACACAAACAUUUUUUUUUUACAACGGACGCCCACGAGUAUUCCUCUGCGUUGAAGUCAUUGUUGAAGUUUGAAAACUCAUAAAGUUUUGUUUUGUGAGUGAAACCGUGAAUAAUACUAAAUAAAAAUGUGUGACAGUGAUCACAGUGAUGAAAAUAUGUUGCCCACUACUCCUCAGGAAAUAUUAAAGCCUUUUCCGUUUAUGUUGUUCCGUUGUUUGCUAUUUUGACAACUUGAAAAGUUUUAUCGGCAGUUUGCGUGUUAUUACUGUGAAGUGUUUGGCCAAACCGCCGCUACCACUUUUGAAAGGAUGCCACCCAAAAAUCCAAAAAUGUAAGUUACACAAAACAAAAAGAAUUUAUUUGCAGAAAAAUAUAGCUAUUUGCCAGUUCCUUUGAUCGUUAACUUAUGUGACUGUUUUUUUUCAGUCGCUCGAACGCAGCACAAAUUAGAUUGCUCGUUGAAUACAUGUCACAGCACACCCGGUUCGCCAACCGGGAAUUUGACGGGCCUCUAAGGACCCCAGAGGUACGAGGCGCAAUGGGAGGCCCUUGCACAGGCCUUAAGGGAGCACGGGCCCAAUAAGUCAGUGCAGGCAUGGAAAGUGGUGGGCACCUGCUCCCCGCUGGCGACACCCUUGCAGAAGCUAGCAUUUUCAGAUAUAUUUACUUUUUAAGUUUUUGGUUUGGUUUAACCGGAAUUAUUUUUACCCGACUAUGAGAAUGGGAAGGGUUAUGAUUUUAGCAGUCUACGUAUGGAUGCCGUAUAUAUGCCGGAUAUCCUGAACGAACUGAAAAUUUUUAAUGAGGCGCAGAAACAAAAAUGGAGUGUUUUGAAGGAGGGGCACGACUUGUUGGCGAAUCGUAUUAACACAUUGGAGGACACCGAGAUUAUUGAGAACUUGGAAGACACAGUUAUAAUGGAAGAGGAAGACGUCUGAGCUAAGCGCUGUCCUCGCACCCUCCGUCUAGUUUACGUUUACGGCCAUAUCAAAAAUACACACCGUAUGUUUAUUAGGGUUCCGUACCAAAAAGGUACAAAAGGAACCCUUAUGGUGCUAUUGCUAAAUAUCUCGAGAAGUACUUAAGCUAUCGAUGUGAAAUUUGGAAUAGUAAUGAAUAACGCUGACCCAAACAUAUUGGAUGUGUAUUUAUUUUAUUUUAUUUGUAAGUAUUAAUAAUGGAAAAUUCCCAAUAUGAAGAGGGGGUAAAAUUGCAAAGUCUAGUUAAAUAGGUCAAGUGGGGUAUCAUUUGAAAGAGCUCAAAUUGAAAAUUACAAAACAAUUUUUUAUUUUCAUUGUGAAAAAAAAAUUUACGUAUGAAGGAAAAUGUGAAAAUAAUACCAUCCCCCCCCCCCUCUCUCAUCUCCGAAGUUUAAGAAUAAAAAUUGUUUUUUUUACAUUGGUCAAGUCUUUCAUGAGAAAAUUUGAAGUUUGUACGGAACCCUCGGUGUGCGAGGUAAACGAACUCGCACUUGACCGGUUAUUCUUAUUGCCCAUAAGGCCCGUCCUUAGAUAUAUGUCAAUGAUUACGGUGAUCUCGAAAAUGGCUCAAAUGAUUUCAAUUAAAUUUGCUAUAUGGGGGUUUUCGGGGCGUUUUUGAGUUUUUACCUAUUUGUUUUCCGAGCAAAAGGAAUUAAAGUUUACUGAUUUUGAAAA